GUCCCUUUUUGAUUCAUACGUGUGAUGGCUGGGAAUUCACACCAUCCAUGACACGUGUCUCCCAUAAACCUUGUUAUAGCAUCAGUACACUAUCCAUCUGAUA
ensembl:snoRNA